GGUGAGGCCCGCCGCCCAGUGCUUCCUCCUCCUCAGUCCGGUCCCGAUCCGCGGCGAGGUCGUCGUCUUCCCUGCCGGCGUUCGUCAGGGGGCUGUUGUUGCGUGUACGUGCAGAGUACGAGUGUUAGUUGUUGCUGUUAGAGGUAGGGGUGGUAACAGGGGCUUCCUCCUUCCCUCGACGGUAGCGCGUGACCAGAGGGACCCCCCCCCC
rnacentral:lncRNA from 1 species